UCCAAAUCUUGUAAUUAACCUCAAGAUGCCUCUUCCUGACUUUAACCAUAUAGACUUCGUGUGGGGAAUAGAUUGCAAAAAGCUGGUGUAUGACAAAUUCUUAAAUACAUGCCAUACUUUUAAGAGAUAUGAUGAGGGAUGCUUCAAGGAAUCCAGUGAUUGUCAUCACUGUGGAACUUCUGCAGGAUGUGUGCCAGGUGCAUCAGUGAUGAAGAAUACGUUAUUUUCAAGAAUAUCAUGACUCCAACUGUUCAAGUCUUUUGAUUCUGGAUCUGCAAAUCGUACGUAUCGCAAUGAAUAAUGCUCUACUCUGUAAGUAUCAUAAUUCAGAACUUGUUUCAAGAUCUUCCACAUGUCAUCAGAAUUAGUUGUCCAGUGAAAUAACUGCAUUUAAAUGUGACCAUAUGAAUUUUGACAUGGACAUUUUUUAUUGACAACCUUUACUAUAUAUAUUGUAAAUAAAUAUUUUAAGUUUU